CAGCCCUUGACAUCCUGGUCGCGGAUUUCAGAGAUGAGAUCCUUCAGUUCGGCUGGACCAGAGACAGGUGCUGCAUGGCUGUCGUCAGCUCGUGUCGUGAGAUGUUGGGUUAAGUCCCGCAACGAGCGCAACCCUCGCCCUUAGUUGCCAUCAUUCAGUUGGGCACUCUAAGGGGACUGCCGGUGAUAAGCCGCGAGGAAGGUGGGGAUGACGUCAAGUCCUCAUGGCCCUUACGGGCUGGGCUACACACGUGCUACAAUGGCGGUGACAAUGGGACGCGAAGGGGUGACCCUUGGCAAAUCUCAAAAAGCCGUCUCAGUUCGGAUUGGGCUCUGCAACUUGAGCCCAUGAAGUUGGAAUCGCUAGUAAUCGCAGAUCAGCACGCUGCGGUGAAUACGUUCCC
rnacentral:rRNA from 1 species